AAGAGUAAAGUAAGUAAUAUUAAAGAGGCUAAAGAAAGGGCACUUGAAGCGGUCGCUAUGAGACUCUCACAAGCAAGGUCUUUCUAUCUCUAUCUAAAAUAUCUCUCCCUUCUCCUUGCAUCUAUUUGUUUCGUCCAUUUUUCUAAUUUUUUUUUUUGGUAUUGUUCCCCGCUUAUAGAGAAUAAGAAAAUUCAAUGAUUUGACUCCAUUUUAUUGUUUUUCUUUUUUUUUAUCA
rnacentral:ribozyme from 13 species